rnacentral:rRNA from 1 species
UACGUAGGUGGCAAGCGUUGUCCGGAUUUACUGGGCGUAAAGAGCGCGCAGGCGGCUGGUCAAGUCCGAUGUGAAAUCUCCCGGCUCAACUGGGAAACUGCAUCGGAAACUGAUCGGCUUGAAGGUGGGAGAGGGUAGUGGAAUUCCCGGUGUAGUGGUGAAAUGCGUAGAUAUCGGGAGGAACACCAGUGGCGAAGGCGACUGCCUGGCCCAUUCUUGACGCUGAGGCGCGAAAGCUAGGGGAGCGAACGGG